rnacentral:rRNA from 1 species
AUUGAACGCUGGCGGAGUGCUUUACACAUGCAAGUCGAACGGCAGCACGGACUUCGGUCUGGUGGCGAGUGGCGAACGGGUGAGUAACAUAUCGGAACGUAUCCAAUAAUGGGGGAUAACUAAUCGAAAGGUUGGCUAAUACCGCAUACGACCUACGGGGGAAAGCAGGGGAUCUUCAGACCUUGCGUUAAUGGAGCGGCUGAUAUCUGAUUAGCUAGUUGGUGGGGUAAAGGCUCACCAAGGCAACGAUCAGUAGCUGGUCUGAGAGGAAGACCAGCCACACUGGAACUGAGACACGGUCCAGACUCCUACGGGAGGCAGCAGUGGGGAAUUUUGGACAAUGGGCGCAAGCCUGAUCCAGCCAUUCCGCGUGAGUGAAGAAGGCCUUCGGGUUGUAAAGCUCUUUUGUAAGGGAAGAAAACUUACUGUCUAAUAAAGAGUGAGGUUGACGGUACCUGGAGAAGAAGCACCGGCUAACUACGUGCCAGCCGCCGCCGUAA